ACGUAGGGGGCAAGCGUUGUCCGGAUUCAUUGGGCGUAAAGAGCUCGUAGGCGGUUCAGUAAGUCGGGUGUGAAAGCUCCGAGCUCAACUCGGAGAGGCCACCCGAUACUGCUGUGACUUGAGUCCAGUAGAGGAGCGUGGAAUUCCUGGUGUAGCGGUGAAAUGCGCAGAUAUCAGGAGGAACACCUGCAGCGAAGGCGGCGCUCUGGGCUGGAACUGACGCUGAGGAGCGAAAGCGUGGGUAGCAAACAGG
rnacentral:rRNA from 1 species